rnacentral:rRNA from 1 species
AGGGCACCACCAGGAGUGGAGCCUGCGGCCUAAUUUGACUCAACACGGGAAAUCUCACCAGGCCCGGACACUGGGAGGAUUGACAGAUUGAGAGCUCUUUCUCGAUUCGGUGGGUGGUGGUGCAUGGCCGUUCUUAGUUGGUGGAGUGAUUUGUCUGGUUAAUUCCGAUAACGAACGAGACUCUGUCCUGCUAAAUAGUUCCCGCGUCCUUUGUUGCGCGGGAAAUUCUUCUUAGAGGGACUGGCGGCGUCUAGCCGCACGAGAUUGAGCAAUAACAGGUCUGUGAUGCCCUUGGAUGUUCUGGGCCGCACGCGCGCUACACUGAAGGGAUCAGCGUGUCUUCCCUUCCCGAGAGGGACGGGUAACCCGCUGAACCCCCUUCGUGGUAGGGAUCGGGGCUUGCAAUUAUUCCCCGUGAACCAGGAAUUCCCAGUAAGCGCAAGUCAUAAGCUUGCGUUGAUUACGUCCCUGCCCUUUGUACACACCGCCCGUCGCUACUACCGAUUGAACGUUUUAGUG